UACGUAGGGUGCAAGCGUUGUCCGGAAUUAUUGGGCGUAAAGAGCUUGUAGGCGGUCUGUCGCGUCUGCUGUGAAAAUCCGGGGCUCAACCCCGGACUUGCAGUGGGUACGGGCAGACUAGAGUGUGGUAGGGGAGACUGGAAUUCCUGGUGUAGCGGUGAAAUGCGCAGAUAUCAGGAGGAACACCGAUGGCGAAGGCAGGUCUCUGGGCCACUACUGACGCUGAGAAGCGAAAGCGUGGGGAGCGAACAGG
rnacentral:rRNA from 1 species